rnacentral:rRNA from 1 species
AUUGAACGCUGGCGGCAGGCCUAACACAUGCAAGUCGAACGAGUGGCGGACGGGUGAGUAGUGUCUGGGAAACUGCCCGAUGUAGGCGUAUGACUACUGGAAACGUUAGCUAAUACCGCCUACCACCGGUUGUGCCCAGAGGGGAUUAGCUAGUAGGUGGGGUAACGGCGCACCUAGGCGACGAUCCCUAGCUGGUCUGAGAGGAUGACCAGCCACACUGGAACUGAGACAAGGUCCAGACUCCUACGGUAGGCAGCAGUGGGGAAUAUUGCACAAUGGGCGAAAGCCUGAUGCAGCAAUGCCGCGUGUAUGAAGAAGGCCUUCGGGUUGUAAAGGACUGUCAGCGAGGAGGCGGUACCUGAAGAAGAAGCACCGGCUAACUACGUGCCAGCAGCCGCGGUAAUUC